rnacentral:rRNA from 1 species
CCUACGGGAGGCAGCAGUAGGGAAUAUUGCUCAAUGGGGGAAACCCUGAAGCAGCAACGCCGCGUGGAGGAUGAAGGUUUUCGGAUUGUAACCUCCUUUUGUUAGAGAAGAUAAUGACGGUAUCUAACGAAUAAGCACCGGCUAACUCCGUGCCAGCAGCCGCGGUAAUACGGAGGGUGCAAGCGUUACUCGGAAUCACUGGGCGUAAAGGGCGCGUAGGCGGGAUAGCAAGUCAGAUGUGAAAUCCUAUGGCUUAACCAUAGAACUGCAUUUGAAACUGUUAUUCUAGAGUAUGGGAGAGGCAGGUGGAAUUCUUGGUGUAGGGGUAAAAUCCGUAGAGAUCAAGAGGAAUACUCAUUGCGAAGGCGACCUGCUAGAACAUAACUGACGCUGAUGCGCGAAAGCGUGGGGAGCAAACAGGAUUAGAUACCCGUGUAGUC